UNUGACUUGAGUGCAGAAGGGGAGAGUGGAAUUCCAUGUGUAGCGGUGAAAUGCGUAGAUAUAUGGAGGAACACCAGUGGCGAAAGCGGCUCUCUGGUCUGUCACUGACGCUGAGGCUCGAAAGCGUGGGUAGCGAACAGGAUUAGAUACCCUGGUAGUCCACGCCGUAAACGAUGAGUGCUAGGUGUUAGGCCCUUUCCGGGGCUUAGUGCCGGAGCUAACGCAAUAAGCACUCCGCCUGGGGAGUACGACCGCAAGGUUGAAACUCAAAGGAAUUGACGGGGGCCCGCACAAGCGGUGGAGCAUGUAGUUUAAUUCGAAGCAACGCGAAGAACCUUACCAGGUCUUGACAUCCCGAUGCUAUUCUUAGAGAUAGGAAGUUACUUCGGUACAUCGGAGACAGGUGGUGCAUGGUUGUCGUCAGCUCGUGUCGUGAGAUGUUGGGUUAAGUCCCGCAACGAGCGCAACCCUUAUUGUUAGUUGCCAUCAUUAAGUUGGGCACUCUAGCGAGACUGCCGGUAAUAAACCGGAGGAAGGUGGGGAUGACGUCAAAUCAUCAUGCCCCUUAUGACCUGGGCUACACACGUGCUACAAUGGUCGGUACAACGAGUUGCGAGCCGGUGACGGCAAGCUAAUCUCUGAAAGCCGAUCUCAGUUCGGAUUGGAGGCUGCAACUCGCCUCCAUGAAGUCGGAAUCGCUAGUAAUCGCGGAUCAGCACGCCGCGGUGAAUACGUUCCCGGGCCUUGUACACACCGCCCGUCACACCACGAGAGUUUGUAACACCCGAAGUCGGUGAGGUANCCUUUUAGGG
rnacentral:rRNA from 1 species